ensembl:snRNA U5 U5 spliceosomal RNA
AUACUCUGGUUUCUCUUCAGAUCGUAUAAAUCUUUUGCCUUUUACUAAAGAUUUCCGUGGGGAGGAACAUUUACGAGUUUCUAUCUAAUUUUUUUUGAGGCUUCGCUUCAGUGAGGCU